ACGAACGCUGGCGGCGUGCUUCACACAUGCAAGUCGAACGGAAAGGCCCUGCUUUUGUGGGGUGCUCGAGUGGCGAACGGGUGAGUAACACGUGAGUAACCUGCCCUUGACUUUGGGAUAACUUCAGGAAACUGGGGCUAAUACCGGAUAGGAGCUCCUGCUGCAUGGUGGGGGUUGGAAAGUUUCGGCGGUUGGGGAUGGACUCGCGGCUUAUCAGCUUGUUGGUGGGGUAGUGGCUUACCAAGGCUUUGACGGGUAGCCGGCCUGAGAGGGUGACCGGCCACAUUGGGACUGAGAUACGGCCCAGACUCCUACGGGAGGCAGCAGUGGGGAAUAUUACACAAUGGGCGGAAGCCUGAUGCAGCAACGCCGCGUGCGGGAUGACGGCCUUCGGGUUGUAAACCGCUUUCGCCUGUGACGAAGCGUGAGUGACGGUAAUGGGUAAAGAAGCACCGGCUAACUACGUG
rnacentral:rRNA from 1 species